rnacentral:rRNA from 1 species
AGUGAACGCUGGCGGUAGGCCUAACACAUGCAAGUCGAACGGCAGCACAGUAAGAGCUUGCUCUUACGGGUGGCGAGUGGCGGACGGGUGAGGAAUACAUCGGAAUCUACUUUUUCGUGGGGGAUAACGUCGGGAAACUUACGCUAAUACCGCAUACGACCUACGGGUGAAAGCAGGGGAUCUUCGGACCUUGCGCGAUUGAAUGAGCCGAUGUCGGAUUAGCGAGUUGGCGGGGUAAAGGCCCACCAAGGCGACGAUCCGUAGCUGGUCUGAGAGGAUGAUCAGCCACACUGGAACUGAGACACGGUCCAGACUCCUACGGGAGGCAGCAGUGGGGAAUAUUGGACAAUGGGCGCAAGCCUGAUCCAGCCAUACCGCGUGGGUGAAGAAGGCCUUCGGGUUGUAAAGCCCUUUUGUUGGGAAAGAAAAGCAGCAGGUUAAUACCCCGCUGUUCUGACGGUACCCAAAGAAUAAGCACCGGCUAACUUCGUG